rnacentral:lncRNA from 1 species
GACCUUUUCCGGAAUAACUCGGUGAUUUUUCCGGCAUAACCCAUUGACCUUUUCUAGCAUAACCCGAUAAGUUUUCCUGACAUAUCCCGUGGACCUUUUCCGGCAUAAGCCGAUGAUGUUUCCCAGCAUAAAUCAUGGACCCUUUUUGGCAUAAACCGAUGUUUUUUCUCGGUAUAACCCAUUGGACCUUUUUCCGGCAUAACCCAAUGAUUUUUCCAGCAUAACCCAUGGACUUAUUCGGGCAUAAUCCGAUGACCUCCAUGGCAUAACCCGAGGACCCCUCUCUCUUUUAUGGCAUAACCCGACCAUUUCCCAGCAUAACCUGGAUCCAUUAACAAAGAUACACAAUCCUGAUUUGACUGCUUAGAUAUAUGUCACCACUAACUCACGAAAUUUUUCUAGCAAAAAUUGGGGCAGAAAACUUCGUUCGUUGUUUGUUUUAGUAUAUUAAGCAGGUUGACUUCAAGACAAAGGGUGUGAGAUUAUCAAUGGAAUGAGUCUCAAUCUAUGAUCAAGAAAAGAAGAAAAGAACAAAAAAAGAAAUGAACUCAAAUAUGAAGCAUACAUAGGUUGCAGAUUGAUCAAGAUCUGAUUGAAGUCGCAAGCUCCGCCAAUCCUGUUUUGACUCAAUGCUGCAUAAAGAAGUAAACACCUACAACUUCCGAGCAUCAAGAUUCAGAUCGAAGUCCACAGCAAAAUCAGCUAAGACUCAAGAUCAAGUUUCAAGAGAAUAAUAGAUUGGAAUCUUGUAACUCAUAGUUGUUAGUCAUACCUAGCUUAGUUUUGAUUUUCCUUUUGGUGUAAUAAGAAAGUCAGCAAGCAGUAGCAGCAGCAACAACGGUGAAAUCAUAGCUCUUGGUAGUCCCAGCUACCGACACUCCCGAACUACACUGACCUGAUUCCUUUUUAAGCUGAGGAUAUGUAGGUAACCUCUGAAGCAGGGUGCGAUCAACUUCUUCAAAA